CAGGGAAUAGUUUAUUAAAAAAUAUUAAUUUUGGAGAUUAAAGAAGAAUAAUAUAUAGUUUUUCUCUGA
rnacentral:tRNA from 1 species